rnacentral:lncRNA from 1 species
AGCCGGGCUCCGCUGACAACAGCAACUGCCGAUAGGCCUUGUCCGAAUUCCUACAGGAUCCGGACUUCGUCUUUAACCUUGAUUGCAAGAAGACUUCGCCCACAACUCCAACUUCAAGAGGGAUUCUCCGUUCGGGCUCCCACGGGAGCCGAACUUAGCCUCGACUUCAGCGGAGAGAAACUCCAAGCAAAAAAGGAAGGCAAUGGAUCGCAACAGCGAUAAUCGAAAAGCAAACAACGCAUGAGGGCAAUGGGAGCUCGGAUCCCCGAAUUCAAGCCCCAGGAAGGACCUCGGGCCCAAAUGGCCCCGAGCGAACCUGCAGCCGUUGACGGAAUAACAACUGGGUAUCUUCGAACAGCGUAAAAGUCAAAAAGGAGCUCGGCAAAUAACAACCCUACGCGAAUAAAAGAGAUCAUCGAUGACCUUGGGACGACGUGAAAAAGAAAAGAAGAAAAGAAGGAAGAAAGAAGAAAGGAAAAUGAAGAAGUUCGACAGACAACUAUUUAAUGCGAGAUGCAGACGAGGUAACAAAAUCUCUUUUUCAUUUAACAAGAGUAUACGUUACAGG